UAUGAAUUUUUAGUUGUGAAUUGAAGUUUCUGGGUUGAUUUUUUGGGAAUUGUUUUGAAUUUCAGGGAUUGAGUUUCUAGGAUUCUUGGAGCUAUAUGGAGAUUUUAGGGCUUUGGGUUGUUUUUUAGGAAUUUGGUUUGAUUUUUGGGUUUUUUGGCUUAAAAGUUUAAAUUUUUUGAUGAGUUUUAUGGCAGUCAGAGGAACUCAUGAUGGUCAGGUUUUGGUAUUCAUGGUAAUUUCCAGGUUGGGUUGAAUUUUUUGGAAACCGUUUAAAUUUCACAACACUAGAAUUUGUGUUUAGGCUAUUAGUUGAAAUUUUCAUUUAUGUUUUCAGAGAGAUGGUAAAGAGAAUUUUUUCUAGCGAGAGAGAGAGAGAGAGG
rnacentral:lncRNA from 1 species